CCUACGGGUGGCAGCAGUGGGGAAUAUUGCACAAUGGGGGAAACUCUGAUGCAGCGACGCCGCGUGAGGGAAGAAGUAAUUCGUUAUGUAAAGCUCUAUCAGCAGGGAAGAAAAUGACGGUACCUGAGUAAGAAGUCCCGGCUAACUACGUGCCAGCAGCCGCGGGAAUACGUAGGGGGCAAGCGUUAUCCGGAUUUACUGGGUGUAAAGGGAGCGUAGACGGGAGUGCAAGUCUGGAGUGAAAGGCGGGGGCUCAAGCCCCGGACUGCAGUGGAAACUGGACGGCUGGAGUGCAGGAAAGGAAAGUGGAAUUCCUGGUGUAGCGGUGAAAUGCGUAGAUAUUAGGAGGAACACCAGUGGCGAAGGCGGGUGUCUGGACUGUAACUGACGUUGAGGCUCGAAAGCGUGGGGAGCAAACAGGAUUAGAUACCCCUGUAGUC
rnacentral:rRNA from 1 species